CUGACGUUAUAAUUCCAGACUUGUUUCAGUACAGGUUUGCAGUUCACAGAGCAUCAUCAGAUGAUCUCAGCACCGUAGCCUGGGAGAUACUGAGGAGAGUCACUGUCCCGUGUUAUGGAUAAGGACACGGAGGUGCAGAGGGCUCAAGUGGUGCGCAGAGUUUGUGCAGCUACUGGGUGGCAGGCCAUCUUCUCAACCCUCCCAGCACCAAAUCCCCUCGUACUGUUCCUGGCACCACUGAACGGAAUCCCAACUGCUCGGGGAGCUAAAUGGCAGUGACUGAGGAAGAGGACCCUGGUGGGUGUGGCGGAGUCACUGAGCUAACGGGAAGCCACUCAAUGGAGCAGGAGUGAGGUUCUGUGUAAACAAAUGCCACGGCAUGCAGUCACUUCCGCUCUAAGGGGCUAGGAAAUCCCAGCAGGAGACAGCAGGUAGCCCUGUGCCGCCUGCCGCAGCCUGGUCCGUCUCCACCCCCUUGGAGCAGAGGUGUGGAGAAGCAGAGCCGCCGCACGGGCCUUGCUGAGCAGAGGCCCAGGGGCUGCGGCCUUCUUGGUGCCCCUUCAGGCGCAGAUUCUAGGCGGGGUCCUGACCCCCAGUGCAGGUGAACUUGGAGACAGCUCUCCAGGGGUUGUGAGGCCUUGGGAGCGGGGCCCUGUUCCGCCAGGGCAGUGAGACGGGCAGGGAAGACACCAGACUGCUUUCCGUGUGCAGGGAGGAAGGCCCUGGUAGGACACAGCAGGAAGGCGGCCCUCAGCUGAGCCCAGCCCACGGUCCCGGAACUGUGGAGAAGCUCAUGCUGUCAGUCAGCGGGGCUUCGUUUUGGCCGCAGAGCUCACCCGGAUGCUUCCCACCCAGUGCCGACCACAUCUGGAAGACUGGAGUGCUUGCUGCCACAGCCUGCGGGAAACCACGUGGUUCCACUUCCUCAACAUGCUCAUCUUAUGUACCACGUCCUCCCUCGCAGUCUCCUCAAGGGAGCAGAACAGAGGAGAAUUUGGGCUGUUGUGCCUGCACCACACCCCUCCACAGCACACCACAUGUGCCACACAAAAAGCAUGGCACACUGCACACCACACACACUCCACGCACGCCGUACACCCGACACACCCUACAACCAAGCACGCACUCAGCGUGCACCACCCACUCCACGCAUCACAGACGCACACCAUGCACCACAUACUCUGCGUGUGCCACAUACCACAGACACACUCCAUACACAGCUACAGCCACACCUCACAGCACACUCCACGGAUAUUCCGGCCCCACACACAUGUCCCCCGCUACAUGCAUCACACACACACACCACAGGACACCCGCCCACACGCACCCUGCACAGACACAUGCUGUCACGGCUUGUUUCUAGAUGUGCCCCAAAGCCCCAAAGGUGGGCUUUGGGAGUGAGUGGACCAUGAGUGUGUGGCCCUGGGCCCUGGAGGUGAGGCGUUGGGAGUGGCUGAAUGGAUGGACUGAAGAGGGGAGCCCCACCCGAGGGUGGGCGGCACCACAGAGGACGGUAGGGAAGAGGGAGGGCUCACUGCUUCCUGCUGCCAUGCCGUAGACUGGCUGCCCUCUGCGAAGCUGCCCUGCCUUGGAAGCACCUGACCUAGGACUGAAACCUCAGUACACUCUCAGUAUCGCAGGAAUGUGGCCCAGCCUGUGGCGGAUGACAAGGAGCUGGAGCUGGGAAAUCGCAAUAAAACACCCGUCCCGGGAAGCAGGCCCAUGAAUCACGGGCAAAGGUGAGCCGUGGGCUGUGAGGGUCACCACAGAGCACAGCAGAGAGGACGGGUGUGUUAAGGAAAAGACACUGGUCCUUCAGGGCAUGGUAGGUCUCCUGGGGACCUACCCAGAGGGGCAAAGCAGACCUGGGAAGAGUGUGCUACUCGUGUGUUUAUCUCAGAAUCUCUCUGAUGUGUGAUGUGCACAGCCUGAGUCUGGGCUUUGGAAGAGAAAUGAUCGUGGGUUAAGUGAAGCUUGUGCUUCCCAGGGUGUGUGCGUGUACUCACGUGUGCACAUGUAUGUGUGUUGCAUGUGUGUGUGCACUGGUGGAAGCGGAGCGGUGGUGAGCAGAGCCCCACGGUGACAGCUGGCCCCAGCCCGGUCUGCAGGUGCAGCACCAGCUUCUCCCUGUUGCCUGUUACCCGUUUCCUAAGUGAGGAGACUGAGCCCUUAAGAGGGGAGAUGACCACUUGCUGGAUGAAGAGCCUGGACGCAGCCACGCAUGGGGUCCUCACUGUUCUGUCACACACCACUCCUCGUGCCCCAGUUCCUUCCCCUGCGGGCCGCAGGAGGUGACACAGUGCUGAGGGGUAGGGGAGGAGCAGUGAGGGAGGUCUGGGGACCCGUCCUUUCUCGCCUCGGGGGGCACCGUGCCUGGGCACGGCAGGGAUGUGCCCUGAUCGCUCUUCUCACGCUGAGUGCUGUCCUCCCUGCUGCUUCAUGGCACACACAGGUGGCCUGGUUACCUGGUGACAGUGGAAGCACCGGCCUA